UUGUGCUGGCAUCUGAAGAAUCAGAAGG
rnacentral:piRNA from 1 species